GAUGAACGCUGGCGGCGUGCUUAAUACAUGCAAGUCGAGCGAAUGGAUUAAGAGCUUGCUCUUAUGAAGUUAGCGGCGGACGGGUGAGUAACACGUGGGUAACCUGCCCAUAAGACUGGGAUAACUCCGGGAAACCGGGGCUAAUACCGGAUAACAUUUUGAACCGCAUGGUUCGAAAUUGAAAGGCGGCUUCGGCUGUCACUUAUGGAUGGACCCGCGUCGCAUUAGCUAGUUGGUGAGGUAACGGCUCACCAAGGCAACGAUGCGUAGCCGACCUGAGAGGGUGAUCGGCCACACUGGGACUGAGACACGGCCCAGACUCCUACGGGAGGCAGCAGUAGGGGAUCUUCCGCAAUGGACGAAAGUCUGACGGAGCAACGCCGCGUGAGUGAUGAAGGCUUUCGGGUCGUAAAACUCUGUUGUUAGGGAAGAACAAGUGCUAGUUGAAUAAGCUGACACCUUGACGGUACCUGACCAGAAAGCCACGGCUAACUACGUGCCAGCAGCCGCGGUAA
rnacentral:rRNA from 1 species